GGCAGUAUGGUGCAGUGGUUAGAGUACCAGGCUAGGAUCUGGGAGACCUGGGUUCAAAUCCCCACUGAGCCA